rnacentral:rRNA from 1 species
GGUUCGAUCCGGCUCAGGAUUGAACGCUGGCGGGAUGUUUACACAUGCAAGUCGAACGGCAGCACGGACUUCGGUCUGGUGGCGAGUGGCGAACAGGUGAGUAAUGUAUCGGAACGUGCCUAGUAGCGGGGGAUAACUACGCGAAAGCGUAGCUAAUACUGCAUACGCCCUUCGGGGGAAAGCGGGGACCUUCGGGCCUCGCACUAUUAGAGCGGCCGAUAUCGGAUUAGCUAGUUGGUGGGGUAACGGCUCACCGCGACGAUCCGUAGCUGGUUUGAGAGGACGACCAGCCACACUGGGACUGAGACACGGCCCAGACUCCUACGGAGGCAGCAGUGGGGAAUUUUGGACAAUGGGGAAACCCUGAUCCAGCCAUCCCGCGUGUGCGAUGAAGGCCUUCGGUUGUAAAGCACUUUUGGCAGGAAGAAACGGCACGGGAUAAUACCCCGUGCAACUGACGGUACCUGCAGAAUAAGCACCGGCUAACUACGUGCCAGCAGCCGCGGUAAUACGUAGGGUGCAAGCGUUAAUCGGAAUUACUGGGCGUAAAGCGUGCGCAGGCGGUUCGGAAAGAAAGAUGUGAAAUCCCAGAGCUUAACUUCUUUGGAACUGCAUUUUUAACUACCGAGCUAGAGUGUGUCAGGAGGGAGGUGGAAUUCGCGUGUAGCAGUGAAAUGGGCGUAGAUAUGCGGAGGAACACCGAUGGCGAAGGCAGCCUCCUGGGAUAACACUGACGCUCAUGCACGAAAGCGUGGGGAGCAAACAGGAUUAGGAUAAUUCCGGUAGUCCACGCCCUAAACGAUGUCAACUAGCUGUUGGGGCCUUCGGGCCUAUAGCGCAGCUAACGCGUGAAGUUGACCGCCUGGGGAGUACGGUCGCAAGAUUAAAACUCAAAGGAAUUGACGGGGACCCGCACAAGCGGUGGAUGAUGUGGAUUUCAUUCGAUGCAACGCGAAAACCUUACCUACCCUUGACAUGUCUGAAUCCCGAAGAGAUUUGGGAGUGCUCGCAAGAGAACCGGAACACAGGUGCUGCAUGGCUGUCGUCAGCUCUUGUCGUGAGAUGUUGGGUUAAGUCCCGCAACGAGCGCAACCUUGUCAUUAGUUGCUACGAAAGGGCACUCUAAUGAGACUGCCGGUGACAAACCGGAGGAAGGUGGGGAUGACGUCAAGUCCUCAUGGCCCUUAUGGGUAGGGGCUUCACACGUCAUACAAUGGUCGGGACAGAGGGUCGCCAACCCGCGAGGGGGAGCCAAUCCCAGAAACCUGAUCGUAGUCCGGAUCGCAGUCUGCAACUCGACUGCGUGAAGUCGGAAUCGCUAGUAAUCGCGGAUCAGCAUGUCGCGGUGAAUACGUUCCCGGGUCUUGUACACACCGCCUGUCACACCAUGGGAGUGGGUUUACCAGAAGUAGUUAGCCUAACCGUAAGGAGGGCGAUUACCACGGUAGGAUUCAUGACUGGGGUGAAGUCGUAACAAGGUAG